GAGAGAGAGAGAGAGAGAGAGAGAGAGAGAGAGUCUUCUACCCUCUGGUUCACUCCCCAAUUGGCCACAACUGCUGGAGCUAUGCUGAUUAGAAGCCAGGAGCCAGGAGCCUCCUUUGGGUCUACCACGCUUGCAGUAGCUCCCUUCUUAUUGUGUCUUCACUUGGGAAAGAAAGAGAGAGAGAGAAAAAUGCAGAAAUCAGAGCCUAUUAAACCCACUUCCAGGGGCUGGGCUUCUGCCUCCGGUGCCAGCAUCCCAUAUGGGCUCCGGUUCAAGUCCCAGCUGCUUCUCUUCUGAUCCAGCUUUCUGUUAGGACAUGGGAAAGCAGCAGAAGAUGGCCCAAGUGCUUGAGCCCCUGAAUCUGCGUGGGAGACCCGGAAGAAGCUCCUGGAUCCUGGCUUUGGAUUGGCCCAGCUCUGGCUGUUGCAGCUAUUUGGGAAAUAAACCAGCAUGUGGAAGACCUUUUUCUCUGUCUCUCCCUCUGUCUAUAAUUCUCUCUCUCAAAUAAAUAAAAUCUUUAAAAAAAGUUAAAAACUCACUUCCAGGUACUGUUUCAGAUAAUUGGAAGUAACCUUCAAAUAAAUAAGGUGUUACUAUCUUUA